CUUAUGAGUCACACCUACGACUUAUAUUCUGUGACCAGCUGCUCUCUGUAGCAUUUCAGUGGGUUCUGACUUCAUUCUUUUUUCAGAUCUUCUGUUUCUGUGGGUUGCUGGUCAUUUGCGUCACAUGACUCCAGUCCCACAUUUCUACAAAGCACAGGAGCUUGCCAUGCGUGAAUGCCUCGUUCUUCGUCGUGCAUUGCUGUUUUGGGUAAACGUGGUUUGGCGAGGUGUGCAGGCGGUACUGACCGCAGACUUGCAAUGAAGGCAUAACUCCAGCCUGAGGGUUUUCAUUUUGCCCUCGACCCAGACGCCCGAGGCUCUUCAAACAGGAUACAGAGGUAGAUGGCGAAAGAGAUUUGAAGUGAUAGCCCAUUUUAGCGGAGAAAAAGGCUCUGAUUGUCUCCGCUGCCCAUCGCACCCUCCCCGCAACAGCCUCGCAUGCCACUGGAGAAAGAAAGGAAAGAAAGCAGUUGAGUGAGAGAGAGAGCGAGUUAGCGAGAACAGUGUCGCUUUGCAGCUGCUCCUCUGGAUGUUUUUGGAUUACAUCAGUGCCACGCAAAGAAAGGAGCAGAGGACUGGCAGAAAAGGGAUCAGAGCGCAGAGGGAGCGGGGCACACUCCACAAAUCAGGGCUCUUAUUUUGGGAGGGGGCCGGGGCCUCGCUCCGGAGUUCUCUAGGACAGAGCUGUCAUUGUUAGCAGGUUGAAGUGGGUAAAGCCAGGGCUCAAUAGUGUGGCGGGACCCCCCCAAUACCGUACCCCCUACUACCACAUCCUGACAACACAGCAACAGCAACCCAACCCGGCCCUGUCAGCUGCCCGCGCCUGUGGAUGGCAUGCAGCUGGGAUCACAUUGCUUUGGGUACCCACUCCUGCCCCCCCUUUAGAAUUAAUACUCCUACAUCUUUGUUUGGCAGGCGAGCGCUGGCAUUGAAACGGGCACAGAGGAGGAGAAAAGAUCAAGGCAAACUGCGGGGGAAAAGAGAAAUUGGCAUUUUAAAGCUAAGUUAACUGGCACCGUACUGUUCCAGAAUGUUUUCUGGUGUUCUUAUGGUCGUACUGGUCAUUUUACUGAUGUGUCGCAGGAUUAUAUGGCAUGGAAUAUGUUUUGUUGUGGGAGACAGAAUAUUAGCAAGGAAGGCCAAAACUAAAAUUAAAACAGAAGAUUUGGAUUAAAUAAGCGUUGUACUUACGAAUAUGUGCUUUUUUCCCUGAUGUCUAUAUUCUAUUGUAUUCAAGCAUUAGGUUUCAUUAUAAAACCAAUGAUAUGAAACACCAAAUACGUAGAUAAAUGAACUGUAGCACGUGCAACAAUUAAA